rnacentral:lncRNA from 1 species
CUAACGGAGCUUAACCUUCAGUCCUCUCAUUUGACAUGGGCUUCUGCAAGUACUGGGAAUUGUUGGAGGAUGUUCAGUAUUCUAGGUGGUGAGAGGGAAACCAAGUUAGCAUUAGGAAAUAGGUAAGCAUGAAUGGAAGAUUACCUGAAGGAGUAUCAGAAGAGACUUGAAUCACUGACUUCAUGGAUCCCCCAAAUUACAUAAGCACCACAAAACCAGCAUCUGCCAAAGUAGAUCACUCAGCUUUUCAGGAAGCAAACAGUAGAGGAGUUUGUUUGCAAUCAAGUAUUUUCUUCAAAGUAGGAUAUCCAGACCCUGCAUGACCACUCUUGAAUCAGAAAUCAUUUAUCCUAGCAACAUUUCCAUGUCUAAGCCACUUCCAGAGUUAUUGCCACAGCCAACAGGUCAUUGUUUCCAUCCCUCUGGCAUCCUGAACUCCAGAGGAGGAGUGGGGAAGGAGUCAGUUGCUCAAGAAUCUCUCAGGUAAGCCUUUUCUGGAUGUCCUCUGAGCAUGUGAAAAACGGAGGAGCAAAGAAAAUAAAAGAUCAAAUUCUCCUGGCCCAUCCAAGACAAAAAAGAAAAUUGCUUUGAUGGAGUCCAAUUGCUAAGUGGCAGAUUACAGCUUUUCUAUAUUGUUAUGAAAAAUGGGGUUUCCAGAAAUUUCUAUGUUUGUCUUCAAAGAGAGCUGCAGCUUCGUGAUGAAAAGCCCCCUCUAACAUUGGACACGUGUUCUGCUGGAGGCCGCUCUAAAUCAUGGAAGCAAAUCCAUCCAAUGGGAGAAAUCUGCCUUAACAUCCCAGAAACAUUUCCACCUGUAAAUUCUGAGAUCUUAAAAUUAGAAUCUGCCUCCAAUUAUGACUUGACAGUACAUACAAGUUCCAGGAGAGCCCCAGCAAAGCAUGCAAUAACUGCAAUGGUGUAAACUGGAAUUUAUGCUAAACACAGGCACAGGAAAUUAUAACUUGGAUAAAUUGGAAACCUGCAAUAUGGAAACUUAUUUGUGAUAUAACGUGAGAUUUAUGUAAAUCUGGGCUCAUAAUUGAUUGUGAAAACUUCCAUGAAACAAUAUGUAAGACCAUAGGCUGAGACUUCCCCUGGUCGUUGAACUGUUCCUUGUGUAAAAUGAUUUCAAGGAAUAUUGUCGUUAAUUGAUCUCUUCUGGAAGCCUCUGAUUUGCAUCUGAUUCAAUCUUCAUGUUGGUUCCCCACACUCCAGCUCUAUCAGAGUUCUCAGAAAGUGUGAGAGCAAGCCCCUCGAGGUCAAAUUCAGGAGACACUAGGGAAGAGAGGGUUGCUGAAGAAUUCUGUGGUGCUGGAGAACGGCACAGGCUUGGGGAAGCCAGCUGCCAUCCCAUGAGGCAGCGCGGAGGAGAAUGCCGCCAACAGCCAUGUGAGUGAUGUUGGAAGCAGAUUCUCCCAGUUGAGACGUGAGAUGAGAGCAACCCUGGCCGACACCUUGACUGAAGCCUCAUGAAAGACCUUGAAUGAGAACCACCUGGCUAAGCUGCUUCUGAAAUCCUGACCCACAGAAACUACACAAUAAGAAAUGUUAUUGCUUUCAGUUUUUAGGUUUUGGAAUAACUUUGGUAUACAGCAAUAGAUAACUGAAACAUAUCACAACAUAUUACACAUCAGAGACGGGGCUAAGCAAAUGAGAUCAUUUGCUUUUCACAACAACCCCACAAAAUAAGUACUGUUAUUAUCACCCUUUUAUAUAUUAGGAAGCUGAAGUACAAGGAAAUAAAAUAGUCAAGUGUGGCCUAUCUGGCUUAUGAAUGGAGUACCUGGGGAUUUAUCAAAGAAUCUCUAAAUACGGGGUCUAGCACGUAGUAUAUGGUGCUGAAUCUGUGUUGAUUGAUUCAACAUGAUCAUGUCCAAAAAACUGCAAUAAGAGAACAAAAACACAAGUUCUAUUAUUUACGUUCAACCAGAGCAGACAUGAGUUCCCCAUGAAGACUUAAUAUACCUCUUUUAAUGCAGAGUUCACGUGAGGCUUCUGGUUUUCUUCUCUCUAUGAUUAAUGCCUCUAGGAUCACGAUUCCCCACACUCAAGAGGUAAGACAAACCUGGCAGAGAUCCAAUAGUCUCUGUCAUUUACUAUGCCUGUCUGUAGACAUGGGGUCAUGGUCUAAGAGUCGUGAGCUGAAGGCAGCCUUACUUCCUUGACUCCUUAACCUGUUAGUCCCUGCUUGUUCUUCCAAAUUCUGCAUCCUUUAUCUUUCCAUUGUUUGGGACACACAAUUCCCCUUAUAAGUCCAGUCCCUUAGUUCCCAAUCAUGACCUGAGCCAGGGUGCUUUGAGAAAGUUCUGACUCCAUGAACUUGGGCUUAUCAACAUGGUUAGUUGCCAAAGCCCAAGUAAACAUGUGCUAGAGCCUUGUAAUUGGCCUCCACCCAAAUCCCAAGGCUUUCUCUCCAUCUGGUUACUUUUAAUAACGGCUGGAAUCUAAAAAGACAAAAGAAAAAUUCUAUAUCCUCUCUAUUUACACAUUAUUUCUUAAGUUGUGGCCCCAUUUUGGCCAUGCUAGUCCACAUCUAGAAAUAAGAGACCUGUGUUCUGACCUUUUACCAUAUCUUAUGGCCAGGGCACCAGCUUAGUGAUAAAUACUUUUUCACAUUGACAGCCCACCUACUUACCUGCUAAGACUCCCAAACAUAGCCUCCUCAUUGCUGUGUUUUUCCUACAACUGUGUGAUGCUUUACUUCAUCUUAAAUCUCCAUCAUCUUCUACUUGCUUAAACAAUGUUAAUAUAAAACCCCUUGGACACUGUACUGUACCCAACACCAGAACAUUCUUUCAAUCCUGUCUGGAACAAGUAUGUAAGAUGGAUGAUUCUUGGUAUUAAUGUUAUCAUUAGUAAAAAGAAUAUGAAAAUAUUUUGUUUAUUAAAUGCCAGGAACUGUG